rnacentral:rRNA from 1 species
UACGUGCCAGCAGCCGCGGUAAUACGUAGGGCGCGAGCGUUGUCCGGAAUUAUUGGGCGUAAAGAGCUCGUAGGCGGCUUGUCGCGUCGGUUGUGAAAGCCCGGGGCUUAACCCCGGGUCUGCAGUCGAUACGGGCAGGCUAGAGUUCGGUAGGGGAGAUCGGAAUUCCUGGUGUAGCGGUGAAAUGCGCAGAUAUCAGGAGGAACACCGGUGGCGAAGGCGGAUCUCUGGGCCGACACUGACGCUGAGGAGCGAAAGCGUGGGGAGCGAACAGGAUUAGAUACCCUGGUAGUCCACGCCGUAAACGGUGGGCACUAGGUGUGGGCAACAUUCCACGUUGUCCGUGCCGCAGCUAACGCAUUAAGUGCCCCGCCUGGGG